AUGACUCACCGCUGUCUAACUGACUCUUCCUCUCCCAACAAAUUCCCCAACUACCCAUCCAUCAACCAUGUCCACCUCCACCAACACCGCCGCCGUCAAACCAUCAACUCCACCGGAACCAACACAGCCACCACGGCUAAUACCAUCUCUCCCAGACGACUUGGCUUUAAACAUCAUAGCCCGAGUCCCAAGACGCCACCACCCAACCCUUUCAUUAGUCUCAAAAUCAAUGAAAUCCCUUAUCUCUUCGCCUCUCCUUUACGCCGCCCGUUCCCUCCUCAGCUGCGCCGAGCACUUCCUCUACAUCUCGCUCCGCCUCCACACCAGCCACUUCAUGCGCUUCUACACACUCUACCAAAACCCCAAUAACCCAUUAAAUCCCAAAUACUCGCUCAUCCCCCUCCCUCUUAUCCCUUCCCCUUCCUUAGUCGGCUCCGCCUUCGCCGCCAUCAACCACAAAAUCUACGUCCUCGGCGGCUCCAUUAAAGACAUCCCUUCUCCACAAGUGUGGUCCCUUGACUGCCGGACCCACAAAUGGGAACCAGCUCCGAACAUGCAUGUUUCCCGCGAGUUCGCCGCUGCCGGAGCCUUUGACGAUAAAAUUUACGUCAUCGGCGGCUGUGUGGUUGAUAAUUGGGCUAGAUCGAAGAACUGGGCUGAAGUUUAUGACCCCAAAACGGGGAAAUGGAACUCCGUUCCAAGUCCGAUCCAAAUCCGGGACAAAUGGAUGCAUGCGAGCGCUGUUAUUGAUGGAAAAGUUUACGCUAUGGCUGAUAGAAACGGGGUUUGCUACGAAGUGAAAAGCGGGAAUUGGGAAACGGUGGACAGUGAUUUGGAUAAUGGGUGGCGAGGGAGAGCUUGCGUGAUCGAUGGGGUUUUGUUUUGCUAUGAUUAUUUGGGGAAUAUAAGGGGGUAUGAUGUGAAGGAAGGGACUUGGAAGGAAUUGAAAGGGUUGGAAAAAGGGUUGCCGAGGUUUCUAUGCGGUGCUACAAUGGCGAAUUUGGGAGGGAAGUUGAUGGUGGUCUGGGAAUCAAAGAAUGGAGGUGGGAAAGAAACGGAAAUUCGAUGCGCUGAGAUUGAGGUGAAGACAAAUGAAGCUGGGGAGUUAUGGGGGAACAUUGAGUGGUCUGAUGUUGUUCUUUUGGUUCCCAGAGAAGCUUCCAUUGUUCAUUGCUUGGCAGUUGCUUUGUGAAACUCAAUGGAAACGCUUGGCUGGUUUGAUAUUUUACCUCUCUUUUUCUCAAUCAUUGUCUAACUUCCAUGGAGAAGGUGGUAGAGGUCUCAUGGAGUAGUGUUUACCUUGUUACUGACUCGAGAAAUAGGAGGAAUGUGCCAUGCCAGAAGCAGCAAAGCUUUGGAUUGAGCCAUCCCACUAAUGCGAUGUGCUACUAAACUCCGUGGAAAUGGCAUUGCAAUCUCAUGGUCGAAGUGGUUCACUUUCUCUUCUAAGGUUACUUUGUUUAGAAAAGCUUAUUUACAUUUCGGAAAUAACUGUUAUAAUCAAUGUACUUAUGUGGCCGUUGAAAAUAAAGGAGUUUUAUUAACUUCAGUACUGUCCACUGUGUGAGAGUGUCUGUAGCACAUGUAAUGUAAGUGGUGAUAUCAUUGUCAUCAUAUGUUCUUUCCCAAAUUAUGAUUUGGAUAUAAUGUUAGAAAUUUUAAGUUGUAAACGUUUGUUUAUAGUUGAAUUUAUUGAAGUUGGAACUUAUUUGUAAA